rnacentral:rRNA from 1 species
CGUUCCCGGGUCUUGUACACGCCGCCCGUCACACCACGAAAGUCGGCAACACCCGAAGCCGGUGGCCUAACCCGCAAGGGAGGGAGCCGUCGAAGGUGGGGCUGGCGAUUGGGGUG